rnacentral:rRNA from 1 species
UACGUAGGGCGCAAGCGUUGUCCGGAAUUAUUGGGCGUAAAGAGCUCGUAGGCGGCUUGUCACGUCGAUUGUGAAAGCCCGAGGCUUAACCUCGGGUCUGCAGUCGAUACGGGCUAGCUAGAGUGUGGUAGGGGAGAUCGGAAUUCCUGGUGUAGCGGUGGAAUGCGCAGAUAUCAGGAGGAACACCGAUGGCGAAGGCAGGUCUCUGGGCCACUACUGACGCUGAGAAGCGAAAGCAUGGGGAGCGAACAGG